UUCCUGGCGCGCGUGCGGCCGAGGCCCCCACGGUGCUCGGCCCGGGCCCGCCGGCCGCCCGGGACGCACGGGGUCCCGAGAGCGCGGAAACGCGGCCUCCUCCGGGGAGGACGCCCGGCUGCUGCCGCGGCCCCAGACGGCGGCCCUGAGUUUCGAUGCUGAAAAGGUCCAAUUCGGUCUGACGUACGGGAACAGCCACCAUUCUAUGCCAACACUUCCAUGAGGGCAGCCGUCUUUCCCAUAGAAUCUCUGGGAUCUCCGACCGGACAGCCCUAACGGUUCAGGCAGAGGGCGCUAUGGAGCCAGCAGACGGGAUGUGUGUAGCCUGUGGAUGCUCCGCAAGGAGAGGCCCAGAGAUGUUAUGAAUGCCAUCCGCCAGCCGUUGGAGGCACAUUCCACUCUUUUCUCUGGUGCAGCGGACAAGAAUUCAACUCACAUACAGUAAGGUAAAGUAGAAACCCUGGGAGAGCACA